AUUUCUUCUCCUCUUAAACAUGCUGAUGUUUGUGCCACAUCCUCUGAGUACCCUCUGUAGGUGAAGACAGAUUACAGAGGGGAGCAGAACACAACCUUCAGAUACAGGUCUCCAUGGGAGCCAUAUGAAGACUCAAGGAACAUCAGCUGUCUGAGAUGACCACUUGCUUCUCUGCUUUUUAUUUCCUGUGACCACUUUCACAGCUGUGGAUUCUGUUUUGCAUUCUAGCUUAGCUUCAGGUUCACUUGUGAAGUCACCGGCAUAAAGAUCUGCUGGCCUCUGUCUCCUGGGUACUGGGGUUAAAGUUCUACAAGAAAGCAAGCUGAGCAAGCCAUGAAGAGCAAGGCCGUAUGCAGCACCCCUCCAUGGCCUCUGCAUCAGCUCCUACCUCCCUGCUUGAGUUUUGGCCCUGACUUUCUUCAAUAAUGAACAGCAAUGUGGAAGUGGAAGCCAAAUAAACCAUUUCCUCCCCAA
rnacentral:lncRNA from 1 species